AUUGAACGCUGGCGGCAGGCCUAACACAUGCAAGUCGAACGAGUGGCGGACGGGUGAGUAAUGUCUGGGAAACUGCCCGAUGGAGGGGGAUAACUACUGGAAACGGUAGCUAAUACCGCAUACCAUCGGAUGUGCCCCGAGGGGAUUAGCGAGGAGGUGGUGUAACGGCUCACCUGGGCGACGCUCCAGAGCUGGUCUGCGAGGCUGACCAGCCACACUGGAACUGAGAAACGGUCCAUAGUCCUCCGGGAGGCCGCAGUGGGGAAUAUUGCACAAUGGGCGCAAGCCUGAUGCAGCCAUGCCGCGUGUAUGAAGAAGGCCUUCGGGUUGGAAAGUACUUUCAGCGAGGAGGCGUUACUCGCAGAAGAAGCAUCGGCUAACUCCGUGCCAGCAGCCGCGGUAAUUC
rnacentral:rRNA from 1 species